rnacentral:lncRNA from 1 species
CAGGGUUUUAAAUUUAUUUUUUCAUAAAUCGAUAUACCAUUUCAAAUCUUUAUCUUCACUAAUUUUAGUUCGCUAAGGCCUCCAGGGAGCCCGAGGGCAGUCGAAGAUGUUGGAUGUGGAGACCAUAUGCAAAAAUUUAAAAAAACAAAUGUGAAGCCAAAAUAAGACAACAAACUCAUAUAUAAACGCUCAAUUAAUACAACAGACCACGUCAAACGAAAGUCGUACUGGUAAGGAUCCAACUUUCUCAGAGUAAAAUGGAGAUAACUCUCAUAAAGUUGGACCAUAUAAUCUUACUCGCACGUGAAGAUCGAUCUAAAGCACGUUUCACCUUGCUGAGUUUAACAUUAUGGCACUUUUUGAUAACAUAAAAAAACCGAUUAACAUCAAAAGCAAGGGAUUAGGGUUAUAGUCUUUUUUCCAAAAAUAAAAUGUUUUGAUCAAAAUUUUGAUAAAAACUAAUUCAGGUCAUGUAGAUGAAAAAAAAUAUUUCUGAAUCCAGAUUUUUCCUAAACCUUAUAGCAUGUAUAAUGUUAGAUGUUGAAACAAAUAAUUUGAUUGAAAGCGUCGAAAACCUUAAUAAAACAAUCGCGCUAUGCGGAGGAGGGAGGAAGUUUACUCAGGAAAGAAACCAUAACAGCCCUCCCCCUUCCACAAAAUCCCCCCCCCCCUUUGAAGUUAAAGUUAAAUGAUUGCUACCUAAGGAAAAUAAUGUUUUAAAAUUUUCAUGUGAAUAUAUUUAUUGCAACGAGUUUUUGAGAAUUUUUGCAUCAUCCAAGUACUAUCAUAUGACAUGUUCUCUAAAUUUUGGGGGAAAGUUUAAGUUUUUGAUUGGUACAACAUAAAUAAUAAGUAUGUAAUUUUAUGUUACUUAUAUUCUCUACUAUAUCAAUUAGUAUAUAACUAGUCAAUAUUGCUUCUACAUUCUAAAAGAUAAUUAUAAAAAUACCUAUAAAAGACCGUACUUUGACCUAUAUGGUUUACUUUUAUAAAUUGUUACUUGGAUGGAGAGUUGUCUCAUUAGCCCUCAUACCACAUCUUCCUAUAUCUAUCUACUAACUAUAGGUUUAUUAUUAGAAGGACAGAAAUAUCUUAUUUUCUACGUGAGCUUAGUAACACGGAAAGGCAAUAUUUCAACAUUCAGAAAUGAAACAGGGUGGACGUACCAUCAUAUGUCAAUGUAUCAUCGAUCAUAUAAUUUGCUUUAAUUUUUUUUUUUGAAGUGAAUGAAACUUGAAAUACAUACAUCAUUGAAACACAUUUCAACUAAAUAAAAACCAAGCCAUGAGUCAAUUUAUUAAGUUGCAACGCUAUAAAGUGGUAUUCGUGUGCGUUAUUUAUGGAACCUAGCGUCAAUUUUAAAUCCGCUUAAGGGGUUAGACUUUGUAUAUGGGAGACAACUCUCACACAUGUAUUGAAAGUUAUUAGUGCGUUUUAACUUAGCAGUAAGCUAAACAGAGAUCAAGCAUUUAUGUUGUUUACAUUUGGCUGUGAGAAUGAUGCAGACAGAUCCAGUAAGCUGUACAUGUUUGACACAACAUAAACAAUAAACUAAAGAACAUCUUUUUUUAAUGAUGUUGAUGAAAAGGUAGAAAAUUUCCAUUCAUGCAUGAUAUUCUUAACAAAACACCAAUGAACUGAGUCUGAUGAGUUCUGGAGCAACUAUACUGACUUUUUAAAAGGACCUUGUGGCAUCAUUCAGAAAAUUUGAACAAACUGGUUUAAUAAUUAGUAAUAUGGUUUUAGUGCUAAGUCAUUGAUACAAAGUUUGUACUUACUGUUUUUGGUUUUUUUUCUAUAUGAAAGGCACUAUUCUAGAAGAUAUGAUAUAAACAUCAAUCCUAGUACAAGCUUAUGCUAAUAGAUAAUAAACAAUAACACAAAGAUAGUACUUAGAUAGUGACAGACUGUAGAAACAAUGAAUUCUGAAAGCGUCUGCUAUUGAUGACAGGGACAUUUUGUAGUUUGGGGGAGAGAAACAAACAAAUAGUUGUGAUUAAUAAAUUAUGUCAACUCGUCCCAAGGAUACUCGUCCCAUACUGAAUAUUACUGUUUUUCCUUAUAAAAUCUAUUACAAUUAUUAUUGGGACAGUACUCCUUUGACUAUUUUACAUAAAAAGAAUGCAAAGACAGUCUGUAGGAGGUUUUCAAAGGGAAAUGGAUUUUGUCCAAAAUUUCUACUUUUUUCGUGUGCCUUGUCAGCCAACUUGUUUUUUUUUUAAAUUUCAAACAGUCAAUUUCGAUAAAACUUUUGUGAUUUUAAAGAUCAAUAAAAGGGGAAGCUAUUCGCCACCACCGAAACAACAGCAAUACGCAAAAUUUAAAAGAUACUCUUUGUAAAUUCAAAGGCCAUCUUAAGCAAAGGGGAUAUAAGGACCUUGAAAUACUUCGUAACUGUGAAUCGGCUCUCAAUAUCGAACGACCAGAGUUACUCCGCUUUAAACAAGAAUCUGACAAGCAGCUACCACUAGUAUUUGUAACAAAAUAUCACUUCUCGUUAGGAAAUAUAAAUAAAGCUUUACGAAAACAUUAUAAAAAACUAGUUCGCAAUGCGAAGUGUAGGGAGCUAUUUCCAAAACCACCAAUGGUGGCGUAUAGUAGACAUCGGAACUUAAAAGAAAUACUGACUAGAUCGGUAGUUAAAGCUUAGUACAAUAUGAAGGAUUGGGUCAGGACCCCUGAUGAAGCACCCACCCUUCAUAUGAGCCACGGAAUAUUAUAGAGUUUGUCCUAUUCUGUACUGCAGAAACACGAUGUGUUGGGUCCUGGAGAAUAGGCAAACGUGGCUGAUAGGUACUUCCAGACAUUCAACAUCAAAAAUGUUUGAACACUUUUUUACAGGAAUGAAACGACAAUAUUUUUUUCUUGCUAAUUUGACAAAAAUGUGUUAUCUGAGCUGGCAAGAUUUUUCGCCGUAUCAUUUAUCAAAAACCAUGUUUUUCGCAUUCAGGCUAUUUGUUUUACUAUGAUGUUUCAGAUUUACUUUACAAUAUAUUUAAUCUAUGCAAUGUACCAGUCAGGGGUAUUUCUAAUGGCAACAUGUGCAAAAACACUCAAUGAUUUUUACCUGCUAGUGUUUUCGACCGUUUUUUAAGGUACCCCAAAACUGGUCAUAUUCAAUAUACUCUAAACAUAAAAUGAUACGGUGAAUUUCUCUAAGACUUUGACAGAUGAUGCAUGGACCCUCUACCUUUUCAAUGAUGUAAAUAUAAGAAAAAUUAAACGUGAGGAAAAUUUUUGUGAUACCAAGGCCUAUCCCCUUAAAAUACAACGAUAUUUACUCUUAUGACUAAUGUUUUUUUUAAUUUAUAAAUUUUGCCAUCCUCAGGGAUAGACAUAUUUGAUAAAACAAACCCAAAAUCAUCAUUUCUAAGUGGUUGGAAAUACUAUAUGGUAUUUUUUUAUACUGAUCUAUUUGGUUUUUUUUUAAACAUUUUUGAUUGAUUAAUUUUUGGUUGUUUAAAGUCCAGUGGUAUCUCGCUUUUGCAUUUUAUAGACAAAGCAAACACUACCCAAUAAUGGUGUGACGUCAUUCAAGGGUUUCCCGAGUAAAACCCUGGCUCGGUGAGGGUUGUAAUCUGGGUAAGAAGGGUUAACUCGAGUGGUUCAAGUAAACUCGGAUUGUUGAAACCCGAGUAAGUAAAGUUAGCUCAAGAGGUUCAAUGAACGUCUAUGAACUCCUUAUAUAGUUCUUGCAACGGUUUAUUUUAUCUCUCUACACGAGGAAUCAGAGUAAACGUCCCAGAUUUGGCAGGACGUAGCUGCAUUGUAACCGGACGCCCAACUUCGGAAAAUGUUUUACUGCUGAUCGGAAGAAGACCUGUUAAAACUAUAUGUAUAUUCCCUUGAUAACCUUGGCGGGAGGGGAUUUUGAAUACUUCAAGAAAAUCAUUGCGCAAACAUACAAUCCGGCUACAGUAAUUACGUUUUCUUAUAAUCCUUAAAACUAUAAAUUGUUUCCAAAUUGCAGAUAAAUAUUUGUUUCGGCAUUACGAAAGUCAUCGGUGCACUCGAAUAAUGAGUGAUGAAUCACAUAGGCCGAGUUCACUUGAAACUCGAUAAUCCAUGUCAGAGUUUCAAGAGUAUCACGUGAACUCACUAGAGUUGCUAUUCGGAACAACUCUUAGUAACUCUAAGGUACAUAUGUAAGGCCCUGACCAAGCAUAAAAAAAUGAAAUAAAUUCAUUCGUGUGACGUCAUUCAAGAGUUUCCCCAGUUUAACCCUGGCUCGUUGAGGGUUGUAAUCGGGGUAAGAAGGGUUAACUCGAGUGGUUCAAGUAAACUUGGAUUGUUGAAACCCGAGUAAGUAAAGUUACUUCAAGAGGUUCAAAUGAACUCGGCCAAGAGGGUCGUAGAUAUGUAACACUAGCGACGACUUUGAAAUAAAAACACGUCUUUCAUAUCUAUUUUGAAAAUUUUUUUUAACACCGAAAUGUUUCAUGCGUUUCUGUUCAUUAUCAUUAUUGAUAAUGAUAAAUGUAACGUCUUUCAUUGCAGGCACUCAAACAUAUCUUUCGAUUGUACUGAAACGAAAACUCAAAACAGAAAGUUCAUUCUACAAUGCCCAAAUUUAAAAGGUCAAACAAAUUGCAACUGUAAUAGUCAUGACUUUGUACAGGCAUUUCUUUAUGUAGAAAGGGUUGACUAAACCUGAUUUUAUAGCUAGAUAAACAUCUCUCUUGUAUGACAGUUACAUAUAAUUCCAUUAAAUUGACAAACCUUGUGAUCACAACGAACAGGCAUAGCAGGUAAUAAAAUGUCAAAAAGAGGGUACAUCAGUCAACAUUGUGUUGUUAUCAUCAUCUCUAUAAGAUCAAACAAUUGUGUCAACAACAAAAACCAAAUGGCAUGUAAAAGCACAUAUGCACAAAAAAACACAGGAAUAAAAAAAAACAAUAUCCCAAAACUAGUAAUAGCACAAUGGCGAAACUGAUCACAACUCGAGCCACCUAAAUAAAGGCAACAGUAGUAUACCGCUGUUCAAAACUGUAUUUGGUAAAACAAAAUCGGGGUAACAAACUAAAACCGAGGGAAACGCAUUAAAUAUAAGAGGAGAACAACGACACAACACCGAAACUGGGUUUUGGGAAUUUGGGAUAGACAAGUACCGUGCCACGUCUUAUCUCAAAAAUAAGAGAAAACACAAACGACUCAACGUUAUGACAAAAAUAGACUAAACGGUAUAGAUUAAAAAUAUACAAAUGAAAAGAUCAGCAUGUAUCUUUUGUGAGAAAAAUGUCUUAUUUAACAACAUGGUACUGGUAUCUUCAAUGUCUUCCGGUGCUUUUCUUUUUGGAAAGAAGUAGACGUUCUCCAACAAUUUUGGUUCAACAACCGUCCAACUUUCUGCUCAGACACUGGAAACGCUUCACGUAGUCUAUUGAACGUAUAUACCUUCAUAGCUCCCACACUGAUUACCUUGUACCUGCAGUCGCCUGUUUUGACUGCUGUAAACCAUUCAGAUUUGGGGUUGGAAGUUUACUUGGUUUUCUUAUUAGAAGAAUGUUUAUAUAAAAAUAUCUUAUAAGCCCAGUAAUACAUAAGCUUAGUUGGUUGACACCUGACCGGAAAAAACAAGAAUUUCAAAUGAAUAGUUGAAAUUUCAAGGUAAGAUAUAUUUGUUAUAGUAUACUUUUCGUUUACGUAAAACACAUUUUCCAUUGUUGUUUGAAUUUUUAUCGGGUUAAAAUGACUUUCUACGUUAUCUAAAGAAAUUUGUUACAAAUGUUUAAAAGAUAAAAGUUGUCCUACCAGAAAAGUUAGCAAUAUCGAAGAAAAUAUUAAACUGCAAAUAUUGUAACAAUUUCGCUGUGAUGACCUUAAAUAUCCAUGUAUGUCAUACGACACUAAUAAGUCUUGGGUAAAUAAAUAAAAAGUGAUUUGCUUGCAAAAUUAAAAGCAUAGUAGGUUUGAUGUCUUUUGAUGUGUCAAUAAUAUUAAACCAGAAGAAUGUUUUAGAAUUAAAGUUAAAAACAAAUUAAUUUGUAUAGGAUAUUUAGUGGUGAGACUUAAGGUGGUAGACUUGCAUUAUGUAAAAAGAAAUAUUACUCUACAAAAAUAGUGCAUCUAUCAAUGAUCAAUGAAAACAGUGAUAAAUUGACUUUAAACUAAAUCAUUAAUUAUUUGUACAUGUUGUAUGUGCAUAAAAGUAAUUAUACUCAUAGAUAUCUUUUAUAAAAUCAUUUUAUAUUAACUUACCCUAGGCUAUGUCUCCAAUAUAUCUUUGCUGAAAAAUCAUACAAAACAUGUUUUAUUUUAUUCUUUUUUUUUUUGUAAACGAAUUAAGUUUCCACUAUGCCUACAGUUAAGCUCCUAGAUACGAACUGAUAAUUUGAGACACAAUGAUGCAUCGGCCUUUAAAUUUAUUGACAAUUGUAAAGAAAACGAUAAAUGCUUAAUAUAAUAUUUUACAUUUAAAACGUUCUGCACUUACAACCUCUUUCACAGCCGUAGCGAUAAAAGGGUUGCGUUUUGUUUUCUUUGUCAUAUUUAUCGACCAAUUUAUUAUUUUG